CGGAUUGAAGGCUGAAAUUCGCCUUCCAUGAAGCUGGAAUUGCUAGUAAUGGCAGGUCAGCAUACUGCCGUGAAUACGUUCCCGGGCCUUGUACACACCGCCCGUCACACCAUGAGAGUUGGGAAUACCCGAAGCCUGUGAGCUAACUUAUAGAGGCAGCAGUCGAAGGUAGAAUCAAUGAUUGGGGUGAAGUCGUAACAAGGUACC
rnacentral:rRNA from 1 species